rnacentral:tRNA from 1 species
GGGGUGUUAGUGAAAAUAGGUAACACGGCGCACUUGCAAUGCGCAGAAAUCGGGGCGGAACCGAUACAUUCCACCA